rnacentral:tRNA from 1 species
AGAAACUUAGGAUACAUAGACCAAGGGCCUUCAAAGCCCAAAGAAGGAGUUUAACUCUCCUAGUUUCUG